AUUGAACGCUGGCGGCAGGCCUAACACAUGCAAGUCGAGCGGAGCGGCGGACGGGCGAGUAAUGCCUAGGAAUCUGCCUGGUUGUGGGGGAUAACGGCCGGAAACGGGCGCUAAUACCGCAUACUAUCAGAUGAGUCUAGGUCGGAUUAGCGAGUUGGUGGGGUAAAGGCCUACCAAGGCGACGAUCCGUAACUGGUCUGAGAGGAUGAUCAGUCACACUGGAACGGAGAAACGGUCCAGACUCCUACGGGCGGCAGCAGUGGGGAAUAUUGUACAAUGGGCGAAAGCCUGAUCCAGCCAUGCCGCGGGUGUGAAGAAGGUCUUCGGGUUGUAAAGCACUUUAAGUUAGGAGGCGUUACCAGCCGAAGAAGCACCGGCUAACUUCGGGCCAGCAGCCGCGGUAAUAC
rnacentral:rRNA from 1 species